rnacentral:rRNA from 1 species
AGAACGAACGCUGGCGGCAUGCCUAAUACAUGCAAGUCGAACGAACACUUCGGUGUUAGUGGCGCACGGGUGCGUAACGCGUGGGAAUCUGCCCUUGGGUUCGGAAUAACAGUUGGAAACGACUGCUAAUACCGGAUGAUAUCGAAAGAUCAAAGAUUUAUCGCCCAGGGAUGAGCCCGCGUAGGAUUAGCUAGUUGGUGAGGUAAAGGCUCACCAAGGCGACGAUCCUUAGCUGGUCUGAGAGGAUGAUCAGCCACACUGGGACUGAGACACGGCCCAGACUCCUACGGGAGGCAGCAGUAGGGAAUAUUGGACAAGUGGGCGCAAGCCUGAUCCAGCAAUGCCGCGUGAGUGAUGGAA